GACGAACGCUGGCGGCGUGCCUAAUACAUGCAAGUAGAACGCUGAAGGAGGAGCUUGCUUCUCUGGAUGAGUUGCGAACGGGUGAGUAACGCGUAGGUAACCUGCCUGGUAGCGGGGGAUAACUAUUGGAAACGAUAGCUAAUACCGCAUAACAGUAGAUGUUGCAUGACAUUUGCUUAAAAGGUGCAAUUGCAUCACUACCAGAUGGACCUGCGUUGUAUUAGCUAGUUGGUGGGGUAACGGCUCACCAAGGCGACGAUACAUAGCCGACCUGAGAGGGUGAUCGGCCACACUGGGACUGAGACACGGCCCAGACUCCUACGGGAGGCAGCAGUAGGGAAUCUUCGGCAAUGGACGGAAGUCUGACCGAGCAACGCCGCGUGAGUGAAGAAGGUUUUCGGAUCGUAAAGCUCUGUUGUAAGAGAAGAACGAGUGUGAGAGUGGAAAGUUCACACUGUGACGGU
rnacentral:rRNA from 1 species